ensembl:lncRNA
UUCAAGACUCAUGUCUAUAAAACGAACCUGCCUUCUGAACUGAUGAUGACCACAACCAUUGCUCCUGCUUUUAAGUUUAAAAAUAAAAAUUAUAAAUCCCAUCUCCAGCAAGAAUAUCUCACGUAUGAAAAUUCUUAUUCAGCUUUUCCAGACAUUGCACUGUUCAGAGUGACUGUUCAACUCCGUACAUGAGCUGUAAGUGACCAGUUAAGCCCAAGGAAACACUUGCCUUGUUUUUUUGGUCCCACCAUUACUUUCAUAUUUUCUCCUAUUUUAUUUUGCGCUGCCUUUUCUUGGCCUUCCAAUCAUGUUACCUCGCUACAUACAACCCUUUCUAUUACCAGACUGUUUAAAAGAAAUGCCUGUACUUUUAGGCAGUAAGACAUGGAAAACUCCAAAGGACAGAAAACUGCAGUCCAGUGUAAAUCAUGACGGGGCAUUGAUAAUAAACCAACCUUAUUCAGGCCAGAUAAAGCAGCAAAUCCUCAUGUAACACACCAAAUAAUUCAUCCUUAGCCAGAACGACACUUAGUCUGAAAUUCAAACAGCCGUCUUUGUACGUACAUGGAGGCUGCCAAGUCUCCGUACUUGAAUGAUCUCAUAGACUCUGGAAAGAAAAAAGAGAAACAAAACAUUUUACCACGCUAGCUGAAUACACGCGGGCAGAGAGAGAUCGACUUUAAAGCAUUUUAGAGGUUUGGGUCUUCAUGCAGACCUUGAGACAAACUUCAGGAAAAAAAUACAAACACAAAGUCAGAGAAAAAUAGAGGGCCUAAGCAAAACCUCCUUUAAAUUUCCUUGCUUACAAUAAUGCUGUCAAGUGAGGAACAAUCUUCCCCAAAUAUCCAUUUCUUUUCUCUACUGAACUCAUAGCAAGCACAGCUCAUGCUUGUUUCACAAACAAGGAUAAGAUGCGUAAUGAAAUAUAACCACUCUUAGAGAAGUUCAAGUGUAAGGGCAGGAACGUUUUCCCCAGAAACAUCACAAAAACAGAUCUGUUUUCAUCUAUUGUGGCUCGCCCUCUCGCUGCCUGUAAGACGUUGCUUAGUUAGAAGGGAAAGGAGAACAGAGAAGGGACAGAGCAAUGGGAGACAACAUGGAUCCAAGCGAACAAGAGGACAUUGAUCGACACACUGCUACCUAGCAGAAAGUCGUGCGCAACCCAGUUGGCCGGUGCUUAGCACUGAGCACAGAUAGCUACUGAGCUCAGCUCGGUUCCCAGCUGUGUACACUGGACCUGAUCCUCUACUUGGGUAAAUUUCCGCAGUUCAAUCAGUCGAUGAACGAUGACAAUUUUACCAGCUGGAGACUGGCUACCUUUUGGGUUUCUGAAAACACUGCGGUACCUUUCAACGUGCAGCUGCAGACGCGGAGCCAACUCCAGAAGAGCACACAAGCUCUGCCUUACCGCGCUUGGAUGGGACAAAGGCGAGCAGAAGUCACAGGCUGAAAUAGCGACUGGCAGGUCUGGAUUUCUCCCUUGCCAGUUGCUGGGUAAGGAUGGGCUGCAUUUCCAAACGCGCUGCAUACUCAAACUCCCAGUUGACAAGAGAGGCUCAAGCGGUCCAUUAUACCACUGAAAAUUAUGUCCCUUGCAGCGUUAAGCCAGGCACCAAAUAUGCAUAACCUAUCUUAAAAAAAAAACAGGCAUAAGUCACUUGCUUCACCUCAGAACGAGUGCAUGAGCUGCACAACACAGGGAACAUUAAGAUAACUUUUUUUUUUUUAAGCCUUGCAUACAGUUAUCUACAGUUUAACAGCACAGUGAAGUACAAGGAAUAAUGAGGUGAGUAACGUCAGCUGCAAGUUUGGAAACUCCAUCUCAGCAUCCCUCACCCUCCUGCUUCUCUCUGUGGCGCUCCCAAGCACCAAGGGCAUCUCACAGCACUCACCAAUGGGAAAGGAACAGCCUUGGUGCCACGUGUGGGGAUCAGCCAGCAUAGCUGGUCCGCAUGGACUGCGGCACCCUGCUGCACACCUGCAGGUAGUUCACACUGGAAUCUCUCUCCCUGGUCCUCUCUGCAUAAAUCAAGCAGCAGGGAGGCUCAGAAACAUGACGAAUACGUUGGCUAGAAUAUCUCCUGCUGUAAAGACACAGGGAGGAAGGGGGAUACUAAACUAACCUUGCCUUGGAUGGAAAAGCAGCUGGAAUUUAAUGUUCUUGGAAGCCAGCCCUGGCUGUUCAGACGUGGAUCUGCCAGGGAAGUCCCCAGUGGAGGCAUUGCUCAUUCUCCUAAACUAAAAUGUCAAGAGAAAACACUGGAAAUCAUUAAGCACUCUGUUCAGCAUUUCUUGAGCCAUCUCAGGCAGGGGGUGGGGAAAAAAGCCUCAGCCACAAACAACACAGAAACAAAUUCUCAGUGUUAACACAAAACAGAGGGGAGAGCAUCAGAAACCCAAAGCAGGAUUUCACUUAAUCUUGUCCAUCUGAAAUGACAUAAUACCAAGCCAACCUUGGAAAAAAAAAGAGAGGGAAGAGAGUGGAAGUAUGGAGCAGAAAACAGAAGGCACCUCUCCUCCCAGCACUUCACUAGUGCAGAGCCUUCUGAAUUACUGAUCAGUAGGCAUAACUGGGACAACAUUCUGAUACCACGCUAUCAAAGCUCACACCAUGGGACCACCAUCUUUCGCAAGAAAUAUAAAUGACCAAAUGGUGUCCAUUGAUACAACUACAAGCUCAGUGGCUCAGUAAGCUCACCUUGGUGGCUAGCUGGUAGCAGGUUAGGUGGGCUGGCUGUCCUUUUGCUUGUUUGAUAGCAGAAGCAUUUGUACAUCCUAACAAAAUAAGGCUCUGUGCUUUGUGAGCUGGGUAAGCAGGAUGCUCAGUGCUGACUACUGCAAUAGGUGCCAGAAACAAUUUCUCUUUCUCUGUACUACUUGUAAAGCAUUUGGCAGUGUCUUUUGGAUGAAGGCUGUAUUGAAGGGGGGAGACAAAAAAAAAAAAAAGAAAGACUUGAACUUCAGAGAAGUGUUAAAUAAUAAGGAAUCAACUGAGAAAGUGUUGUGCAGCAGCCAAACUUGAUUUUUUUUAAACUCAGAUUUGCAACAUUUCUUGUGCUGGAAACCACAGCUAAGAGUAUUUUCCUGAGUGGUCUCAUCAUGGACCACUGCACGAAGCACUGAGUCUGAUGGCAACAGAAAAAUGGACUUCUUCUCCCUGAAUACCUGGAGAGGUGCGUGAAGACUUCUUGUAGGACACGUGGAACGGUACAUUUGAAACAGGCAAAAAGAAGAGAGCCUCUCGCCUGAUGGAAAGCUCUUGGAAGGCAGAACGCACUGCGUGUGUGAACUGAGCGGCUCCUGCUGAGCAUCCAAUGGGGCUGAAAGGACGAGGCGCAGAAAAGCAGUCCUGGGUAUCCUGGCACAGCUGUGCUGCUGCUUUGAGGCCAGGGGAGGAAACAAGAGAAACAGAAGACUGAGAUACAAGGGAGAUUUCCCAAAUCGGUGGCUAACACGUUCCAUAGGUAUCACUUAAAGAAAUAACAUUAAAAAAACAACAGAAUUAGAAGCAGCCUUUGAGCACUGGGGUGAGACAUCUCUUCCCAGAGGCUUCCGAGCAGAAAGAAUCCACGUUGAUUCCAACAUCUAGCACUGCACGUUGGAUUUAAAUGGACAGAACUAAAAAUAAAGAAAGGUUUUAUCUUCCCACAAGCUGACUGGUAUAGCAAUUUGCAUCUGAAGCAGAUCACCAAGACAAACGUAUUCUCAGGGAUCAAGAAGUCACCGUAACACAAACAUUUUUGCUGGGAGAAAAGGAGGCUUGCCAGUGACAUCAGCAGAACACUAUUUCCAUUUAGAAUGGAGAGUGUGGCAACUUCAGGUUGAAUGGAAAUUGAAGCGUGCUGGCACUGUCAGCUACACGUUAAGCCACUUGAGAGGUUUGUUUAAUUUUUAAGAAGUAAUGCUCCUGAAUGGGACUUACUGUCAGUGCUAUUACAGACCCAACUCGACUUUCCAUGUGUGCUAAUGGAACCCUUAUGGUUCUCGAUUCACAUGACUUCAGUUUGCGUUACCACAAUAAAUGCGUUACGGCUUUGAAUCCUAAGCCUGAUCUUUUAGGAACAACUAAAAAAAAAUGUCCAUUUUUCCAUAGCUCAUAAUUAGCUAUGCACCAAAUGUCUGUUUACCUGCUCUGAUCAAUCUUUCAGUACAAACAAAGGAACCAGAUCCCACCUUUGGAAAAGCGGCGUAAAUUCGUCUUUUCCGAGUAGUUCAGAUCCCUACAAUUCAAGAGGAGGUAAGCAAAGGCCCGGAGUUCUUUGAAAGCUCAAAUUCUUUCAUGUGCAGACAUCUCAGCUUGAAAAGUCACACCCUAAGAACUCGUGUUCCAAUAGAAGGCAUACCCUAAGAAAGAUCUGGGCUGCCCUACGAGCUCCCAGAAAGGGGCAGAGCUCAGUAGGAGUUGUAGCCAGGCAUCGCCCUCCCUUCGGCACAGUUGAACUCAAUGCUUUCUACUUCUUACACACAACAACUAUUACGAUAUUUAAAUUAAAAACCACUUUUUGAAGUUCAUAUUUCCUUCAAUAUUUAACAAUCUCUGAGACUGUUCCUCAAAGACUACCGCACAGAAGAGACUUCCUACGUGGCUUAGUGCCAUCCCUUGGGACUGCUCACCUACUUAUAGCUUCUUUCAUGAUCUGAUUCAGCCCCACAGAAAGCCCGAGGGCUUUGGUCCCUACACUUCCCUUGUGAAGCUCUAAGAGGAGAUUUCCCUCUCCCUGAUGGCACGGAACAUCUUUUAUUCACCGCCGGUUUACGUGCAGUUGUUCAUGUGACAAUUUCCUCUUACUUUAGAUGCCGCUUUUCCAUUUCUUGUGUUCCGAGGUAUGGAUAAAGAGCUUCUUCAAGUUUUGCAAUGUGGGGAUAAUGCAUUUUUUAAAUACCAAAGAGAAUUGGGAAAUAAAUUUAACAACAGUAAUUUAGCAUUAAUAUAUGAGCUGUUGGGUGCCUCGGUAGCUCUUCAGAAUGAACCAUGAAAACUCAUCCACAGUUACCAACAUUCAGAGCAGCACCGACUUAAUUCAAUUUAUUUCCUUGCCAGCAGGAUAUUUUUAUUUUAAUCUAACUGCCUGCUAAAUUUCCAUCCCAAAUACUUGACAGUGAAGGAACACAUAGUUGGUUGAUAUCAUCAGAGCAUUCAAUGUCACUAUCUAAGCAGAAAUGACAGGGAAAAUAAUAUAUUAAAGCCUAACUGAAGGACUCAUUGAGCCCAAGGUAAACCCAUCUGAUGCCCCACAAAAGCCUCCUUUGGAAGCUGUUCAUACACAUGCACAGCAGCAGGGAAAAAUCCUGCUCUAUGUGGUUGCUUAUUUCCAGUACUGAAAAAGGACUUGAAGGACCAAAAGGAAACAAAGCACUGUUAUAGAAAACAAAUGUAUAAAGCCUUGCAUGAAUUCUGCUACCUCCUUUUAUUCUUCAAAAAAAAAACCACAACACCUUAGCAUGAGGGUGAAUUGAGGGGUUUGCAUUUCCUUUUUGCAGUUAGACCCAGUCAACCAAUUUCUCCUUGCCUCAUCUGCUUACUCUUAUUUUCCCAGGUCACUUUUAUGCAAGCAGAACAGCAAGAGGAAAAUACAACUUACCUCCUCCCUUCUGGGACUGGCAGGAGACUUGACAGGAGCAGCAGGCUAUCUCACAGACCUCCUCCAAAUGCAUUAUUAAUCUCAGGCACACAGACCUGCUAAUGAGCAGCCCGGUAAGAAGAGAUACCUAACUCCUUGGUGAGACUAAGAACGGGGCAAUAAGGCACCACCACUCCUGAGGAACAGCUUCCCCAGCUUACAGCCAUCAUCAGGUCGCUCUGUUUGGCAGUUCUCAUACAGCCAAAUGGAAUAACAAGGAAUAGGAUUUAAGCAAGAUGUUGUUUAGUAAAUAUUUGUAAGAUACCAUAGUAGCAAGCAUGAUAUGUUUCUGUGUAAUGGCUAGCAGUUAUUCUCAAAUAACCAAAUAGCUAAUACCUCUAUCCUCAAAUAGUUUCCUUAUUGCAGCACCUCACGAAUUAAACCCAAAGCUGCUUGCAAUAACCUUUUGUUUAGGCAUUACUUGGACUUCUAAAAAGAAAAGUAAUCUACUUGAAAAUAAGUAAUAAUAUACAGAUGUCUGUGACAAGACGUAAACUAUGAUUUAAGACCAAGCCUGGGGCAUAUUUCACAUUGGCUCUAAGCUUGUGUGUUCAUGCCAUGUUGGUUCUGCUCUUUAUCAUCGUACAUGUACAGCUUCAAACCCCUUAUGAAAACCAUUCUUUCUGAACAG